CAGAAAUGCUCCUGUGACCGACACUCCACUCCACACUUUGACUCCACACAGCACAGCCACACACCACACUUCAUCCCUGUCUCCCUACUCCCUUCCCCUUUUCCCUUUCUAGUUUCCCCUUUCCCCUUUUCCCAGAUUAAGAAAUCACUUUCCCCAAAUCCUGAGCGUUCUUGGUGAGACGAAGAAAGAUAGAGAAUGUAAUGGCAGAUUCUGCACUUUCAACAUUUACAACCUGGAAAUCCAGAGCAUUUGCAUCUGGAUCUCGUGUAAAUAUGGCAGGCCUCCCAGACCGGCUAAGCAUAUAUGGAAUACCUGAAGAACAUAACACCAUAAGGCACUGCAUUCCUUUAACCAGUUACAAAGCUAGUUGUCAAAAUCAUUCUUUAGGAGCUGGUGGACUAUCCUGACUCAAGCAGGUUAGGAUACAUGGCUUCUAAAAAAACUACCAGUUGCAAUAGGCUUGACGUGGAAUGGUAAUAUGGUAUAGAUGUUAAUAAGAAUUAAGGAUACAUGACAUUUGUAUUGUUUAUUUCACUUUUAUUUUAAUUGUGUUAUAUUAUUAUUUACUACUUGAGUU